GUGCUUCUCUUUAUCCCAUCUGAUGACCGUUUUCGACCUUUUCCAUGGACAUAUUAAUUGUCGACAUUGGUUUACACACUUGAAACUGCAAGUCUUGAAUCUGAUAUUGUAUCACAAAAUACAUAGAAAAACUAAACGUGAGAGGAACUAUGUACCGCUAACCACAUUGUGCUGAAUACAUAACUCUCAGCUGGUAAAUUUAACAUGUCAGAAAUAUAUAUAGUUCUAGUCUUCUAGACACGCAUCAUGUCAAUUGUCAACUUCUAAAACAAUAGUUUAUCAAAGCGUUCUCCUACAUGGCCUAGUUAUUAUUUUAAGAGUCAUAAUUAUUGGAAAUUCAUAGUUAGAAAUGGGGCCUGUACCAAACAAACUUGUUUAUUUAUAUUUAUUCGGUUGUGAUACUAUAUGAUUUCUCCAUCCCCCAUUAAUAGUUGUUUUCCUUUUAUAUGGCACCUUCAUGUUUGUUUAACAUGUGCUCAGUUGAAACAUUAGCUUGAGCUAUGGGUUUGACAUAUGGAAAUAGAUAUGCGAACAAAUUAAAUGGUCUUACAGUGCUGAGGGUUCACAAUAGGGCUAUGCACCAUACAUCUUGAAAUGGUAAUACAACAAACACUGAAGAUAUAUAUAUAUAUUAUAUAUAUAGCACUAUAGAAACUUUGGAUAGGGUUUGAUAAGGUGGAGGUUUUGGCUGUAGGAUGGUUUUGCGGGCUGCAUCCAGAGUUUAUUCAAGGUAGAGCUUGAAUUUUAUGAAUAUAGAGGUGGAUAAGGAUAUAUUUAUAAAAAAGUAGGUAUCAGGCUAACUUUUGCGUCACUAGCACAGCUUCUUGUCACCAGGUUUUUACGCGAGUUCCCAAAACAAUCAUUUUAUAGAUCAGUGAUCAUAUAGAACUCACCAUAACCGGUUGCCCAAUAGGAAGGAUGCGGCUACCGGAAUAGGUUUAUGACUCCAUAGAGUUUGUAAACAUUACCCAUAUGGUCAGCCUAAAACAAUUGCCAUGGCUUCUUAGACAUGUCCAAUGAGAGUCGUACCCACCGGUUAUUCAGUAUACUUCUACUACGAAAUGUCAAGGAUGUAGGUUCGCACAUAAAAAUACUACACAAAUAAAAGUUGGUCAAUUAUAUAAAUAAAUCACCACAUAUCGAAACUAUGCAUGUGCCACAUAGUACCCAGGCGCCAAAUUAAGCCAGAUCUAUGGGAGUUCACGCAGCAUCCUGGUCCUCUCCUGACGCCUCGUUGCCACUCCAGGCUCCAAGUAUUAGUAAGGUUCAAUCCUUACGGUGUUUGAGAUCAGACUUCCCAUUAAGCAGGUGGUUGCAGAAGUACAAAGUAAGUGAGAUGUUACGAACCGGUCCUUAUGGUGCUAGAGUAAACUUCUCCUAGUGAGGACACCCAUACAGGAUCAUCUUCACCCUACAGGUUGACCUCUGCAGGCAUCCUACUUUCCCUGCACUACUAAAUGGCACAAUAGCACUUGCUAACACACACCACAAGCAGCUCUAGUACGUCCACACAAUGCUGAACUACAACAUGCUUAAUUGCUUAUACCAUAAAGCGAAAACAAGUUUCUCAUAAUUAUAAUCAUGUUCCUAAGCCGCGUUGUCCGGUGAGGUGCUGGGGUAAAAUGGUAUCGUUAUGGACCAGGACAUUCCUGCAGCGUGGUUUUAUGAAAAACAACUUUUGAAAAUAAUGCAUGUUAAGGCAGGCUAGGAGUAAGUGAAGACGGGGAGUCAGUAUGUACUUUCUUUCUUCAAUGUAGUCCUUGGAUCCUUCGAAGUAGUCCAGAUCCUGCUACCUGUCCUCUGAUGCUCCAUCUUCUAAUGCUCGUGAGGAUGGUAACAUAAGUACCAUCCAUCACAAAUAGAAAAAAAUAAAAACGAAAAGGUGACACAAGAGAGCAAAGGUAGGACAAGAUUUAAGAGGAAUUUUGGAGGUGGUUUCAUCAAAUACAGGUUUAGGGUAAAGAAGAUAUGUUUUUUAGAUUUUAUUGCAUUAUUCUUGGAUAUUGAGUUUAUGGGAAGUUUAUAGUUAUUUUUCCAUUAUUCUACGCCUACGGUGGCUCUAGUGUUUCUAGGAUUUUUUUUUUUGAAAUGUUCUCCCAAAGAAAAGGCUAACGCGUGCUGUGGUUGACCUGUGGGGUCCGCUUAGGCGACGUGCACCUGUACACUAGCCUGACCCAAUUUAUGGCAGGAAAGGCAUUCAUUCUUGUGGGGGCAGGGUUGGUGAUUUGCCUCUAUCUGCUAAAGUGAUCUGCACCACGUCUAGAAUUGGGAAACCCGUGGAGGGCAUUGUCUCGGCAUGGCGGAGCUGAUGGCGCGGGGUAUCAUCGACGUCGAUAUCCAAAGCAAAGAUAGCGCCUCACCAGAGUUGGCCAUGGUGGCGAUAAAAAAUGGAAUGACUCGGGAGCGAUAUUGGCUCGGGUUUGGGGGGGGGGGGGGGCAGAGAUGUGCAGGUAGGGCGUACGAGACGACGUCGUGGGGGCACACUGACAAUCAGCCAGGGCAACCAUGCUCGAUUGAAGCAUAGCGGCUCAGGGUGCACGCAGAUGAGGUGGGGCAGGGAAGGAGAGAGAGAAGGGGCACAUAGACGGAAGAGAGAGGAUCAGUAAUACUUACCAACUACUGGUCCUCGAGGCUCGCUACGCGGCUGCGGUGGCAAACCAAUGGUGAACCGACACGGUGCACCUCCAACAUUGAGAAAAUAGGGGAGCUUGGGAAACAGGAAAAGACAGGAAGAGGGGCCUGAGGGCUGCUGCCUGGUGGUGGUCCUCGAGCUGCUGCUCUGCUUGGUGCAGAGAGUGAGCUUGGGCAAGAGAGGAAGAGGGACUCUAGGGCUGCCUGCCUGGUGGUGGUGCUCGAGCUGCUGCU
rnacentral:lncRNA from 1 species